rnacentral:rRNA from 1 species
AGAGUUUGAUCCUGGCUCAGGAUGAACGCUGGCGGUCUGCUUAACACAUGCAAGUCGAACGGACGUUUUCGGACGUUAGUGGCGGACGGGUGAGUAACGCGUGAGAAUCUGCCUUCAGGUUGGGGACAACAGUUGGAAACGACUGCUAAUACCCAAUGUGCCGAGAGGUGAAAGCUUUAGUGCCUGAGGAUGAGCUCGCGUCUGAUUAGCUAGUUGGAGUGGUAAUGGCACACCAAGGCGACGAUCAGUAGCUGGUCUGAGAGGAUGAUCAGCCACACUGGGACUGAGACACGGCCCAGACUCCUACGGGAGGCAGCAGUGGGGAAUUUUCCGCAAUGGGCGCAAGCCUGACGGAGCAAGACCGCGUGAGGGAGGAAGGCUCUUGGGUUGUAAACCUCUUUUAUCGGGGAAGAAGAUCUGACGGUACCUGAUGAAUCAGCAUCGGCUAACUCCGUGCCAGCAGCCGCGGUAAUACGGAGGAUGCAAGCGUUAUCCGGAUUUAUUGGGCGUAAAGCGUCCGCAGAUGGUUUUUCAAGUCUGCUGUUAAAGUGCGAGGCUUAACCUCGUAACGGCGGUGGAAACUGAGAGACUAGAGUAUGGUAGGGGUAGCGGGAAUUCCCAGUGUAGCGGUGAAAUGCGUAGAUAUUGGGAAGAACACCAGCGGCGAAAGCGCGCUACUGGGCCAUAACUGACACUCAUGGACGAAAGCUAGGGGAGCGAAAGGGAUUAGAUACCCCUGUAGUCCUAGCUGUAAACGAUGGAUACUAGGUGUUGCCCGUAUCGACCCGGGCAGUGCCGUAGCUAACGCGUUAAGUAUCC